AGUGAACGCUGGCGGUAGGCCUAACACAUGCAAGUCGAACGGCAGCACAGUAAGAGCUUGCUCUUACGGGUGGCGAGUGGCGGACGGGUGAGGAAUACAUCGGAAUCUACUUUUUCGUGGGGGAUAACGUAGGGAAACUUACGCUAAUACCGCAUACGACCUACGGGUGAAAGCAGGGGAUCUUCGGACCUUGCGCGAUUGAAUGAGCCGAUGUCGGAUUAGCUAGUUGGCGGGGUAAAGGCCCACCAAGGCGACGAUCCGUAGCUGGUCUGAGAGGAUGAUCCGCCACAAUGGAACUGAGAAACGGUCCCGACCCCUAAGGGAGGCAGGAGUGGGGAAUAUUGGACAAUGGGCGCAAGCCUGAUCCAGCCAUACCGCGUGGGUGAAGAAGGCCUUCGGGUUGUAAAGCCCUUUUGUUGGGAAAGAAAAGCAGCAGGUUAAUACCCCGCUGUUCUGACGGUACCCAAAGAAUAAGCACCGGCUAACUUCGUG
rnacentral:rRNA from 1 species